GACGAACGCUGGCGGCGUGCUUAACACAUGCAAGUCGAACGGAAAGGCCCUUCGGGGUACUCGAGUGGCGAACGGGUGAGUAACACGUGGGUGAUCUGCCCUGCACUUUGGGAUAAGACUGGGAAACUGGGUCUAAUACCGAAUAUGAUCAUCGGCUUCAUGGUCGGUGGUGGAAAGCUUUUGCGGUGUGGGAUGGGCCCGCGGCCUAUCAGCUUGUUGGUGGGGUAAUGGCCUACCAAGGCGACGACGGGUAGCCGGCCUGAGAGGGUGACCGGCCACACUGGGACUGAGAUACGGCCCAGACUCCUACGGGAGGCAGCAGUGGGGAAUAUUGCACAAUGGGCGCAAGCCUGAUGCAGCGACGCCGCGUGAGGGAUGACGGCCUUCGGGUUGUAAACCUCUUUCAGCACAGACGAAGCGCAAGUGACGGUAUGUGCAGAAGAAGGACCGGCCAACUACGUGCCAGCCGCCGCCGUAA
rnacentral:rRNA from 1 species